ACCCCCCCCCCCCCCCCCCCCCCAAAAACUUGUUUACAAAGCUCUAUACUCAACUCAUGGACACAAAAAGGCUUAUAUAUGAGGCUCUAAUCAACAUCCUGAAUCUAACAUGUCAUGGAUGUCAAGAAGAAAAAAUGGCAAGCAGUGCCAUAUGAUGAAUAGGAAACAACUGGCUUUAUAUAAAUCUGAGAAUGGAAUUAAAUAAGCGGAUUUGUGCAAAGAAGAAGGUUAAUGGACUUUACUUUUACAAGGGCCAUAAUGAAGUUAAAGAAUGACAACCCAACUAAAUUUGAGUCGAAUUGGAGCAAGGAAUCAAAGGAAAUUUGCACCAAAUUCAAGUCCAAUUCGGACUAAGAUUCCAGCUUGCACACCAGUUAGUAUUUUGGGCAUAACUUUUGGUUCAGAUGUCCAAUCGAGAUGAUUCAAGUUGGGCUAGAAAUUUAACUUAAAUGACUACUACUUUGUAGUUUACCAAAAAUCCUAAUUCUGAAUUUAAGUAGGCUAAAAACGUCAGGUUCAUGGGAGCUCAACCGGUAUUGGUACAUUUGUAAUUCAGAUAGCUAAAUAUUAUGGAGCAAGAGUGUUUGUUAUUGCAGGUCCAAUAUCACUUUUCAUCUAAUGCAUAAGUUUGAUUUCCAAGUUUUCAUAUAUUUUUAGAUUGUGAUUGGCAAGGAGUGAUGAAAAGUUAUAUAUUUGCAAGGAUCUUGGGCUGAUGUGUGCAUCAAUUACAAGACAAAGGACUUUGUUGAAUGGGUGAAGGAAGAAACAGGUAGAAAAGAGUUGAUGUUAUUCUGGAUCAUAUUGGAGCAUCUACUUAAAGCAAAACUUGAGAGCUUAAAUUUUAAUGGGAGGCUUUUUAUUAUUGGAACUAUGGGUGGCUCUGUUACAGAGGUCGAUCUCCAUGAUCUGCUUUCGAGGCGCCUCACAGUGCAAUGUAUGACACUUGAUAUCAGG